UACACUCCUGCGGGAGGCAGCAGUGGGGAAUAUUGGACAAUGGGCGCAAGCCUGAUCCAGCCAUGCCGCGUGAGUGAUGAAGGCCCUAGGGUUGUAAAGCUCUUUCACCGGUGAAGAUAAUGACGGUAACCGGAGAAGAAGCCCCGGCUAACUUCGUGCCAGCAGCCGCGGUAAUACGAAGGGGGCUAGCGUUGUUCGGAUUUACUGGGCGUAAAGCGCACGUAGGCGGACUAUUAAGUCAGGGGUGAAAUCCCGGGGCUCAACCCCGGAACUGCCUUUGAUACUGGUAGUCUUGAGUUCGAGAGAGGUGAGUGGAAUUCCGAGUGUAGAGGUGAAAUUCGUAGAUAUUCGGAGGAACACCAGUGGCGAAGGCGGCUCACUGGCUCGAUACUGACGCUGAGGUGCGAAAGCGUGGGGAGCAAACAGGAUUAGAUACCCGAGUAGUCCCAUGA
rnacentral:rRNA from 1 species